AGUGAACGCUGGCGGUAGGCCUAACACAUGCAAGUCGAACGGCAGCACCGUAAGAGCUUGCUCUUACGGGUGGCGAGUGGCGGACGGGUGAGGAAUACAUCGGAAUCUACUUUUUCGUGGGGGAUAACGUAGGGAAACUUACGCUAAUACCGCAUACGACCUACGGGUGAAAGCAGGGGAUCUUCGGACCUUUCGCGAUUGAAUGAGCCGAUGUCGGAUUAGAUAGUUGGCGGGGUAAGGGCCCACCACGGCGACGAUCCGUAGCUGGUCUGAGAGGAUGAUCAGCCACACUGGAACUGAGACACGGUCCAGACUCCUACGGGAGGCAGCAGUGGGGAAUAUUGGACAAUGGGCGCAAGCCUGAUCCAGCCAUACCGCGUGGGUGAAGAAGGCCUUCGGGUUGUAAAGCCCUUUUGUUGGGAAAGAAAAGCAGCAGGUUAAUACCCCGCUGUUCUGACGGUACCCAAAGAAUAGACACCGGCUAACUUCGUG
rnacentral:rRNA from 1 species